CCUACGGGAGGCAGCAGUGGGGAAUUUUCCGCAAUGGGCGAAAGCCUGACGGAGCAAUACCGCGUGAGGGAGGAAGGCUCUUGGGUUGUAAACCUCUUUUCUCAGGGAAGAACAAAAUGACGGUACCUGAGGAAUAAGCAUCGGCUAACUCCGUGCCAGCAGCCGCGGUAAUACGGAGGAUGCAAGCGUUAUCCGGAAUUAUUGGGCGUAAAGCGUCCGCAGGUGGCAAUUCAAGUCUGCUGUUAAAGGUUCUGGCUCAACCAGAGACAGGCAGUGGAAACUGAAUAGCUAGAGUGCGGUAGGGGCAGAGGGAAUUCCCAGUGUAGCGGUGAAAUGCGUAGAGAUUGGGAAGAACACCGGUGGCGAAAGCGCUCUGCUAGGCCGUAACUGACACUCAUGGACGAAAGCUAGGGGAGCGAAUGGGAUUAGAUACCCCAGUAGUCCUAGCCGUAAACGAUGGAUACUAGGCGUUGCUCGCAUCGACCCGAGCAGUGCCGUAGCUAACGCGUUAAGUAUCCCGCCUGGGGAGUACGCGCGCAAGCGUGAAACUCAAAGGAAUUGACGGGGGCCCGCACAAGCGGUGGAGUAUGUGGUUUAAUUCGAUGCAACGCGAAGAACCUUAC
rnacentral:rRNA from 1 species